AACGCACAUUGCGCCCUUUGGUAUUCCUUAGGGCAUGCCUGUUCGAGCGUCAUUUAAACCCUCAAGCUAUGCUUGGUGUUGGGCGUCUGUCCUGCCUCUGGCGCGGACUCGCCUUAAAGAUAUUGGCGGUUGGUGCACUGACCGGAAGCGCAGUAGAAACGCGCUUUUCCCGCUCUUGUGCCUCCCCCCAGGAAGCUAUACAUAUCUUGACCUCGGAUCAGGUAGGGAUACCCGCUGAACUUAA
rnacentral:misc_RNA from 1 species